rnacentral:rRNA from 1 species
UACGUAGGGUGCAAGCGUUGUCCGGAAUUAUUGGGCGUAAAGAGCUCGUAGGCGGUCUGUCGCGUCUGCUGUGAAAACUCGGGGCUUAACCCCGGGCCUGCAGUGGGUACGGGCAGACUAGAGUGCGGUAGGGGAGACUGGAAUUCCUGGUGUAGCGGUGAAAUGCGUAGAUAUCAGGAGGAACACCGGUGGCGAAGGCGGGUCUCUGGGCCGUAACUGACGCUGAGGAGCGAAAGCAUGGGGAGCGAACAGG